rnacentral:sRNA from 1 species
GUGCUGUCCUUAUUCCCAGCCCAGUCAAGAGCUACCGGGGCUGGCUAGUCAUGGGGGAGCCCAGUAGAGAGGAGUAUAAAAUCCAGUCCUUUGAUGCAGAGACCCAGCAGCUGCUGAAGACAGCACUCAAAGCCCCGUCUCUUGAAUGCACAGCUGCCUGCUUUGAGACAGAUGGAGAAUAUUCCGUUUGCCAGAGGAGCUAUAGUAAUUGCUCUCGCCUGAUGCCUUCCCGCUGUAACACGCAGCACAGAAAUCCGGGUGCUGUGGACUUGGAGAAAGUGGCCAAUGUGAUUGUGGACCAUUCUCUGCAGGACUGUGUGUUCAGCAAGGAAGCAGGACGCAUGUGCUACGCCAUCAUUCAGGUUGAGGGUUGGGAGAGUAAAGGAAGCUGCUUUGAGGAAGGUGCUUCAGGAGUGGGCAGAAGGCCUGGCCUGCAGGACAGAGAUGCACAGGGUCUAGCUCAAAGACAGACAGAGGCAUAGGAUGGGUGGGGUUGCAGGGGCACCGCCCCCCACCCUUCACCUUCCUCUCCCUGGCUCACAGGCAGAGAGUAAACAAGCAGGCCAGAGUGUCUUCCGGCGUGGACUCCUCAACCGGCUGCAGCAAGAGUACCAGGCUCGGGAGCAGCUGCGAGCACGCUCCCUGCAGGGCUGGGUCUGCUAUGUCACCUUUAUCUGCAACAUCUUUGACUACCUGAGGGUGAACAACAUACCCAUGAUGGCCCUGGUGAACCCUGUCUA